AUUGAACGCUGGCGGCAUGCUUUACACAUGCAAGUCGAACGGUAACAGGUCUUCGGAUGCUGACGAGUGGCGAACGGGUGAGUAAUGCAUCGGAACGUGCCCAGUCGUGGGGGAUAACGCAGCGAAAGCUGUGCUAAUACCGCAUACGAUCUAUGGAUGAAAGCGGGGGGAUCGCAAGACCUCGCGCGAUUGGAGCGGCCGAUGUCAGAUUAGCUAGUUGGUGGGGUAAAGGCCCACCAAGGCGACGAUCUGUAGCUGGUCUGAGAGGACGACCAGCCACACUGGGACUGAGACACGGCCCAGACUCCUACGGGAGGCAGCAGUGGGGAAUUUUGGACAAUGGGCGCAAGCCUGAUCCAGCAAUGCCGCGUGCAGGAAGAA
rnacentral:rRNA from 1 species